rnacentral:lncRNA from 1 species
GCUCCCUAUGGAUCCCUAUGGCUUUUUAUGGUCCCUACAUGUCCCUACGUGUCCCUAUGGAUCCCUAUGUGUCCCUACGGGUCCCUAUGUGUCCCUAUGGAUCCCUAUGUGUCCCUACGGAUCCCUAUGGAUCCCUAUGGAUCCCCGUGGUCUCUGUGGUCCCUAUGUGUCCCUACGUGUCCCUAUGUGUCCCUAUGUGUCCCUAUGUGUCCCUAUGGAUCCCCGUGGUCCCUAUGUGUCCCUAUGGAUCCCUGUGGUCCCUACGGAUCCCUAUGGAUCCCUAUGGGUCCCUGUGGUCCCUAUGGAGCCCUAUGGAUCCCCGUGGUCCCUAUGCGUCCCUAUGUGUCCCAAUGUGUCCCUAUGGAUCCCCGUGGUCCCUACGGAUCCCUAUGGAUCCCUAUGGAUCCCCGUGGUCCCUACAGAUCCCCGUGGUCCCUAUGGAUCCCUAUGGAUCCCCGUGGUCCCUGUGGUCCCUAUGUGUCCCUAUGUGUCCCUAUGGUCCCUAUGGAUCCCUAUGUGUCCCUAUGGGUCCCUAUGUGUCCCUAUGGAUCCCCGUGGUCCCUAUGGAUCCUCGUGGUCCCUACGGAUCCCUACGGAUCCCUAUGGGUCCCUAUGUGUCCCUAUGGAUCCCUAUGGAUCCUUAUGGAUCCCCGUGUUCCCUAUGUGUCCCUAUGUGUCCCUGUGGUCCCUAUGGAUCCCUAUGGAUCCCUAUGGAUCCCCGUGGUCCCUAUGUGUCCCUACGUGUCCCUAUGUGUCCCUAUGGAUCCCCGUGGUCCCUACGGAUCCCUAUGGAUCCCCGUGGUCUCUGUGGUCCCUAUGUGUCCCUAUGUGUCCCUAUGGAUCCCCGUGGUCCCUACGGAUCCCUACGGAUCCCUAUGGAUCCCUAUGGGUCCCUGCGGAUCGCUAUGUGUCCCUAUGGAUCCCCGUGGUCCCUGCGGAUCCCUGCGGAUCCCUAUGUGUCGCGGUGCUGCAGGGUGACCCUGGUGCAGCCCGGCCCGGUUCACACGGCGCUGGAGCGGCAGCUGCUGGACGCGGCGGAGGCGGCCGAAUUCCCCGGCACCGACCAGGAGACGCUGAUGCUGUUCCGGCGCUGCUACCUGCCGGCCGCGCGCAGCGUCUUCUGCGCCAUGGCACAGAGCCCCGACGACGUGGCAGAGGUGGGGGGGGGGG